ensembl:lncRNA LINC01232 long intergenic non-protein coding RNA 1232
ACAAAUUCCGAUCUAGAGCUCCCACGCUUGGGGGCUGUGGAGCGCUCGCCAGCCGCUCCCCGUUUGCUGCUGGGUCUUACGAAGUUCUCAUAUCCAUCAUACAGUUUCUUUGUCACACUGUCCGCGGCACGCCAGUCCCUAUGACAGAAAGCACCUGCGGUCUGUCUGGAGGCGGAGUUGGUGGCGGAGAGAAAAAGUUCUGGAGACACCUGGUUGGGAGCAGGCUAAGGAAACAAAUGGGGAGGAAUUAGCCACAAAUCCUCAAAUAGACAGCUACUCAAAGGCAUCUUCACGGACAAUUUCCAAGCAUUGGAUGCAGUGGUGCAUUCUUGCAUUGGGCAGUGAUUGUGUGCACACAUCUCUUUAAGGGAGAGUGGAAAUGGGGUGAGGAGGAAAAUGGGAGUAGGAUAGAGUGUAGCGUUGACAUUUAUUUUCUUUAAAGGAAGACCCGAGCAUACCUGAGAGCUCAGUGAAGAAAGUAGUUCUGGCGAAUCGGAUUAAUAUGCACCACUGAAACUUGACCUUCGGCCGGCGCGGUGGCUCACGCCUGUAAUCCCAGCACUUUGGGAGGCCGAGAUGGGCGGAUCACGAGGUCAGAAGAUCGAGACCAUCCUGGCUAACACGAGCUCAAUGUUUCCUCAAUCCCCCGGGAUCGGCAUCAGCAAAAACCCGGAGAAGCGGAGCCUUUCUCAAAGAAAAUGACCUCCAGACUCAUGCUACCAUCUCGACCGGUGCAAGUAUCACGCAUGCGCAGGGCCGGCCGCCCGGCCGCACCUCGCCAACUCCUACUCGGACACGUCAUCUAGUGCGUUUUGUUCAAUUCUUUGUUCAAAACCCCAAGAAUCUGGACAACUUGCACUCAAGACCCUCUACGGGUUUGGCGAGCCAGUCUUUCAGUGGCUGUUUUCUAGUAGCUCCUUGGCAAUUGAGGGGAACUGGCUGGGACCACUCUCCAGUGCUGUCUGAAGGCCAAGGAGUGAACAGGGAUGGCUGCCCUGCCUUGAAGAGGGAAGGACUCUUUUCUAUCCUUUCCAGCUAUAGUCCCUGAUCCCUACAUGUGAUGCGGUUGGCAGCGGAAGCUCAUCCUGGGCGAACUCACACACUUUUCAGGAGACUUAAACCUUUUCUUAUGCUAAGUUCUUCCCUUCCCCUACUCAUCUGGCUAAAGGACAGACUAUGCAAAAAAGGUUAUACAAGUCAGAGGGUCUGAGCAUGUCGGAGGUGGUCUGUGUGGGGCAUGGGGUGGGGGGAAAAUUCAUGAAAGGCAAUUUAUUGCCUAAAUUUAAAGGGUUAAAGGGUUGCUUUAAGUGGGAUAGAAAAACCUUAAGGAAAGUUCAUAGUAGGUCCUCAGUGGUGGAGUGUUGUGGGAAGUCAGGGACCCUGAAUGAAGGGACUGGCUGAAGCCAUGGCAGAAGAACAUAAACUGUGAAGAUUUCAUGGACAUUUAUUAGUUCCCCAAAUUAACACUUUUAUAAUUUCUUACGCCUGUCUUUACUGCAAUCUCUGAACAUAAAUUGUGAAGAUUUUAUGGACAUUUAUCACUUCCCCAAUCAAUACUCUUGUGAUUUCCUA